rnacentral:lncRNA from 1 species
CUUCACCUGAGGAAUAAAGUGUAAGAUCUUCAGAACUUUUAUUCAGGGGAGAAAGGCCCAGGUAGCUGCUGCUGUUCAGCUUAAGGCUAAUCUGACCUUCUAUAACAGGAGUUCAAGUCCCAGAAAUCCCUAGUCCUCCAUCAGAGGUAAGUAAGGAUGGCAGCUGAACCCAAGAAAAGGAGCAUGAAUGAUUAACUCUUCCUUCAUUUCACCUCAGAAAAUGGGGGCUGGGCGCAGUGGCUCACACCUGUAAUCCCAGCACUUUGGGAGGCUGAGGCAGAUGGAUCACUGAGGUCAGGAGUUUG